AAAAAAUCCUGAUCUAUCUUUUAUUUAUAAUCUUCGAAAGUAUUUAUUAUCACGUGAUCUUAUCAAACUUUCUUCCAGAGUGUGUGGGGGAAAUAUUUGUUAUAAAAGGAUUUGUUUGAUACGAAGAAGAUAGGAGAAGAUUAACAUCCUUUGAUCGGUGAACAUUUUGUGUUGUACGAAUUGUUUAUUAAAAAAAAAAAAAAAAACAAUAAAAAAAAAGAAUAAAAUGAAUUCUUUCAUUUUUUAUUUGUUCACAUUUUUAUUAGUGACAUUUUUAUUCGCAACAACAAUUGGUCAUCCAUUGCAAAUCGAUACAGAUGAAUUAAUUAAUUUAUCUAAUAAUGGAACUGAAGUCAAGUUACCUGCAAUUGAUUUACCUCAUGAGUUAGAUCAUUUGCUUGGUGAUGUUUUACCGCAAGAUUGACUAGAAAAAGAAAAAGAAAAAGAGAAAGAAAAAGAAAAAGAAAAA